rnacentral:sRNA from 1 species
CCCGUGCAAGAUCCGGAGCACAGGGGCUUCCCUGGGUCCCAGGCUUUCUGCAGGACUCACCCCCAACUACCCCGGUGUCCUCCUUCCAGCCAGCCUCCCCGCGGGUCCUGAGAGGAGAGUUUCCUAAAGAGAAGGAAGAAACUCGGACUUCCCUCCUGUUAUGUUCGGGCUCCUCUGUGAGAAAGAGGAGGAGAGAGGAAAAUGAAGGGCCCAUUCUCUGUCCCCAGAGAGCCCCCAGGAAUGUUGGAAAGAUCUGCAAGGAUGAGCCUGAACCUAGAGCGUGACCUGUAGUUGGACCCUGCGGGAACUCACACGUGCCUCCAGGAAGGACAGUGAGCAGAGCAUGCACACCAAUUCUACC